GGGGGCGACCUGGUUUCGACGGGGGUUGCGAAGCGGAUGAGGGCAUACCGGGAUUUCAGUCACCCCGUAAAACGCUGAAUUUAUAUAGUCGCAAACGACGAAACUUACGCUCUGGCCGCUUAAUUGCGCCAGACACUGCAACGGUUCGCUGAUGGGCCGGGUGGGUCAAAUCACUGCAGUGUCACUUUACAUCAGCUAGCUCUGUGUCGGGUCGCUUGACCCAGGGCGAAACUCAAGGCGACUCGCCUAUGCUCAGCCUGCCCGUCGGCGGAGUAGCAGGUCAAAUCCAAACGACACGGCUAAGUAUGUAGAACUCACCGUAGAGGAUUUCCGGACGCGGGUUCGAUUCCCGCCGCCUCCACCA
rfam:Crenobacter luteus strain CN10 contig_11, whole genome shotgun sequence.